rnacentral:rRNA from 1 species
GACAGAGGGUGCAAACGUUGUUCGGAAUUACUGGGCGUAAAGCGAGUGUAGGCGGUUUGGAAAGUCGGAUGUGAAAGCCCCGGGCUCAACCCGGGAAGUGCACUCGAUACUCCCAAGCUAGAGUAUGGGAGAGGUUGGUGGAAUUCUCGGUGUAGAGGUGAAAUUCGUAGAUAUCGAGAGGAACACCGGUGGCGAAGGCGGCCAACUGGACCAAUACUGACGCUGAGGCACGAAAGCGUGGGGAGCAAACAGG